rnacentral:rRNA from 1 species
CCUACGGGGGGCAGCAGUGAGGAAUAUUGGUCAAUGGACGAGAGUCUGAACCAGCCAAGUAGCGUGAAGGAUGACUGCCCUAUGGGUUGUAAACUUCUUUUAUAUGGGAAUAAAACGUUCCACGUGUGGGAUUUUGUAUGUACCAUAUGAAUAAGGAUCGGCUAACUCCGUGCCAGCAGCCGCGGUAAUACGGAGGAUCCGAGCGUUAUCCGGAUUUAUUGGGUUUAAAGGGAGCGUAGGUGGAUUGUUAAGUCAGUUGUGAAAGUUUGCGGCUCAACCGUAAAAUUGCAGUUGAAACUGGCAGUCUUGAGUACAGUAGAGGUGGGCGGAAUUCGUGGUGUAGCGGUGAAAUGCUUAGAUAUCACGAAGAACUACGAUUGCGAAGGCAGUUCACUGGACUGCAACUGACACUGAGGCUCGAAAGUGUGGGUAUCAAACAGGAUUAGAUACCCGAGUAGUC